CCCCAGCUAGCUCUGCUGGUAGAGCAUGAGACUCAUACUCUCAGGGUAGUGGGUUCGUGUCCUAUGUUGGGCG
rnacentral:tRNA from 1 species